rnacentral:misc_RNA from 1 species
GAUGAAGAACGCAGUGAAAUGCGAUAAGUAAUGUGAAUUGCAGAAUUCAGUGAAUCAUCGAGUUUUUGAACGCAUAUUGCGCCCUCUGGUAUUCCGGGGGGCAUGCCUGUUCGAGCGUCAUUAAAUAACCCUCAAGCAUAGCUUGGUGUUGGGCUUUUUUACGUCCUUGACUGGGAUGGGCCUAAAAAUUAGUGGCGAUGGCUUUUUUACUUUCAAGCGUAGUAAAUCUCGUCUUGCUAAAGAGGAAAAAGAUUUUUUUUCUGCCAAAAAUUUUAACAUUUAAAGUUGACCUCGGAUCAGGUAGGAUUAACCGCUGAACUUAAGCAUAUCAAUAAGCGGAGGA